UUGGGAGGCUGAGGCUGAGGCUGGAGAAUCACUUGAACCAGGGCGUCGGAGAUUGCAGUGAGCCAAGAUCACACCACUGCACUCCAGCCUGGCAACAGGGUGAGACUCCAUCUCAAAAAAAAAAAAAAAAAAAAAAAAUAGGAACACUGGGUAGAAGCCCAAGAAGAAGAAAGCAAGCCAGAGUACAAAAGAGCCAGAGAAAUAGUGGGAGGAGCAGGGCUAGGAGGAAAGAGAUUGAGAGAGAGAGAGAGAAGGGCUUGAAAAAAAUUCCUACUUGUUACGCACUAAGUGUUUCUGUCUCCCCAGAAUUCAUGUGUUGAAGGCCUAAAUCCCAGUGUAGCUGAGUUUGGAGAUGGAACCUUUAAGGAAGCAAUCAAGGUGAAAUGAGGUCUUAAGGCUAUGGCCCAAAUCUGAUACGAUGGGUAUCCUUAUAAGGAGAGAGGCCAGAAAACUCGUUCUCUCUUUCUCUACAUGCACAUGCACUCAGGGAAAUCCAUGGGAAGACACAGCCAGAAGGCAGCAGUCUACAAGCCAGGAGGAGAGCCCUUACCACACAAUAACUCACCUCUCAACUUGUCAAGUCUCUGAUGUGAGAUCCAGUAUUAAACAAAGAGUCACACCGAAAGGCUUACACAGUAGAAGAGUUUAAAGUAAGCAUUAUUCAUAAUAGCCAAGUUAUGGAAAGAGCCAAGUCCAGUGACAGACGAAUGGAUAAAGAAAAUGUGGCAUAUACAUACAAAUGAAAUAUUAUUCAGCCUUGAAAAAGAAGAAAAUCCUGCCAUAUGCAACUGCUUGGAUGACUCUGGAAAUAAGCCUGUCACAGAAGAGUAUGUGCUGCAUGAUUUCACUUAUAUAAGGAUCAAGAGUUGUCAAGAAAAUAAGGACUUGCAGCUAUCUAUAUUUUUCAAUACAAAAUUUUUGUUAGCAAUAUUUAAAGAAACAAUAUUGUAAUUAAAUAUCCUUUAUGCUGGCUAUCAAUUUUUAUAUAUAUUUUACUGGCAAAAGUAUGUCUUUGUCUGGCAGAGCUAAAAAAGAAAACACAAACCUGGGAAAUUAAUAAUUUUGAAAAUACCUUAAGGUUGGAUAACAUAAUUUGAAAUCCCACCAUUUAGCCUUAAGGGCUUGGAAGAAAUCACAAAACUGAGUUUCUAUAUAUCAGAACAAUGAUCAAAUAAUCAAACAUUGCCAUAAGGGUUGCCUAUAUUAUUAUUUAUGUAGUUUGUCUACAAAUCAAUCUCCAACUUAUUAGUCAAUAAUUAUAUUCAGAUGUCUUUUUCCCCAUUUUCAAUAGCAGUAAAGAUAAUGAAAAAAUUAAUACAUAAAAAUGUUUAAGAAUCACAUAAGGAGUCAUUUGAAGACUUAUUUUUGACAAUACGUUUGCCUUCUUCAAAAAGAGAAAUGCAUAACACGAAGCAUUUAGGAAAAUAAAUAAGAACAUAGAGAACAAUGACAAGUCCAACAGUAAAAUGAAAUGUAUUUAGAAGGUUUCCCUCCACUGGAGAAAACUACUUACACAAUAAUUCAUCAAUCAUGAUGAGAAUUAGUUACAAGUUUCUCUUAGCUGAUGUCUCACCUAAAAUACAUGAAUUUCAUUUAAUCUACUUAAAUACGACAUUUUUAUUUGAAAAGCUAUACACACUCACAACAUGGAGUGAAGUUCAAGUAAGAUUAUUCCAAAUUUCUAAUAAUUCAAAAUUGUAUUGAUGUUUCAUCUAAAUAAAUCUUAGUGUGUUAUACUGGAAUUUGAGUAUAGCCAUAAUUAGUCAAAUUAUCUCUGAAUCUGGUAAUAAUUUAUUUUGUCAGGUGUAAAUUCUUUUAAGUUAUUUUUCAAAUUUAUUCAUUAUUUAGCAACCUUCAAGUCAUAUCAGAGUAUUAAACAUAUUUCUACAAAACACCUAGUAGGUAUUUUGCCCAUAACAAAAGGCAAAUUGGAAUUAAGUUCCUAGGGACAUAUGAAAACAAUUUUAUAAUACUUAUAUGCACCUUGUACAGUAUUAUAACCGCAUAUUUCUUAACAUUCUGCUUUCCAGUAAUUCACCUUAAUUUAAUAAAACUAAUACCAAACUGUGCUGGAAGGCUUUCUUAGGAAUGAUAUCACUGUAAGUUUAUUCAUUUCAUCCCUUUAACAUAAAUAUAUAUCACUUAAAUAUAAAUUGUAUUAAAUUGGGCAUUUGUUUAACAAAAAUAUAACUGAAAUAUCCUCUAGUUAGCAGAAGUAGAAUUUAUUGCAUGACAACAAUCCAGAGUGUGAUCAGGACAUUAAAAAAAUAGGCAACCAAGGCAGACCCUCACCGCUACCAGCUCACCUUCUAAAGAUGAUUUGGCACACUUCUGAGCCUGUGUCCCUAUGGAGCGGGUCUAGAAGGCUGUAAAAUAUUAUGUCUUUUACACAGCGUGCAGCUAACUGGUUCAGAAACGAAGUAAAGACAAAGUAAUAAAAGUAGAAUGCUAGUCUUUAAAAAGCAGUUCUUAGUAAUGCUUCCCUUUGGCAAUUUUUAGGUUUUUACUUUAAAUUUAACAGUUAAGUGUAUAAAGACAUAAUUUUGUGUAUAGCAUGUAGCACAUGAGAGCUUUCUUUGCAGUCGAGUCUCCUUAGAGAAUUUACAGAAUCUUCUUCAGUCAAUUGCAAUUCUUAUGUUCCACAUGGUUACAACACUUUUAUUUCAUUAACACCUAAUUUACAAGCACAAACCAUUCUAAAUGUAUCAGAACAGAUGUAGGAAAUAAUUAUAAUUUAGAUUGAAAUUUUCAUCUCCUAGUCACAUAAUUUUAACCCAUCUAUCUUAAGAAAAAAAAAUCAAGAGGAUUCUAAAAAGAUUAAAAAGCUCUCCAAUUUAAAUAAAGAGGUGCCAAAUUUAAGUUUUUAUUUUCUUUCAAUUUACCUGUUACUGCUCAGAUGUACCAUACCUGCUGUAUCGAGCUGCAUGGUUAUAAUGGUGCAUAUGCUGCAUUGAUAUGACAAUCUGCACCAAUUUGAAUACAGUUUUCCAUGGAGUCUCCCUUUAUAGCCCUUGGACAUUUCGUUUAACGCUUUGAGAGCUGUUUAAAAUUUCUAUUCUAUCUUCUAGAGAGAAAUCAAUCAUUUUACUUGGUUGACUUGACAUUUAAUUUGCUAUGUAUAAAAAUAAAUAUGAAAAGAAAAUAAUCUGCCAUUAUACAAAUACUAAAAUAACUUAAUGUUUGCUAUCAUUUACCAAAUCCAGUCCACUUGGUCAAAAUAAUAACAAAGCCUCACCUCCUACCCGUGAACAGGCUUCGUUGCUUAACUACAUGGAAUAACCACUUGCUCUGGCCUUAAAUAGACACACACCUUAUGAUUUAGAUGUGCUAAACUGAUCCUCACUCAGCAUUAACUUUUAGCUCCAUGUAGUCAGCAUGUUCCAUCAUUUGUUCCCAUUGGCCUUAUAAACAAAUCUGAAUGAUAGAAGUAUAUUCUCAGGCAUAAAAUCUAAUAAAGAUGUUUGCCUGAGACUGUCUUCUGCCUCAUUUUCAAUCCAUCUAACCACAUUUUGAUUCAUGGUAGCUUACAUUUACUCCACUUCCUACUCAUAUUCUUGUCUUACUAAGUAACUGGUAAACUAAGGCCACC
rnacentral:lncRNA from 1 species